rnacentral:rRNA from 1 species
AUUGAACGCUGGCGGCAUGCCUUACACAUGCAAGUCGAACGGCAGCACGGGUGCUUGCACCUGGUGGCGAGUGGCGAACGGGUGAGUAAUACAUCGGAACAUGUCCUGUAGUGGGGGAUAGCCCGGCGAAAGCCGGAUUAAUACCGCAUACGAUCCACGGAUGAAAGCGUGGGACCUUCGGGCCUCGCGCUAUAGGGUUGGCCGAUGGCUGAUUAGCUAGUUGGUGGGGUAAAGGCCUACCAAGGCGACGAUCAGUAGCUGGUCUGAGAGGACGACCAGCCACACUGGGACUGAGACACGGCCCAGACUCCUACGGGAGGCAGCAGUGGGGAAUGUUGGACAAUGGGCGAAAGCCUGAUCCAGCAAUGCCGCGUGUGUGAAGAAGGCCUUCGGGUUGUAAAGCACUUUUGUCCGGAAAGAAAUCCUUGACUCUAAUACAGUCGGGGGAUGACGGUACCGGAAGAAUAAGCACCGGCUAACUACGUG